GGAAGUGUGGCCGAGCGGUUGAAGGCACCGGUCUUGAAAACCGGCGACCCGAAAGGGUUCCAGAGUUCGAAUCUCUGCGCUUCUGCCA
rnacentral:tRNA from 1 species